AGAGGAUUCGAUGAGUUUGAUCGUGGCUCAGGACGAACGCUGGCGGCGUGCCUAAUACAUGCAAGUCGAGCGGAUCGAUGGGAGCUUGCUCCCUGAGAUCAGCGGCGGACGGGUGAGUAACACGUGGGUAACCUGCCUGUAAGACUGGGAUAACUCCGGGAAACCGGGGCUAAUACCGGAUAACAUUUUCCUCCGCAUGGAGGAGAAUUGAAAGGUGGCUUCGGCUACCACUUACAGAUGGACCCGCGGCGCAUUAGCUAGUUGGUGAGGUAACGGCUCACCAAGGCGACGAUGCGUAGCCGACCUGAGAGGGUGAUCGGCCACACUGGGACUGAGACACGGCCCAGACUCCUACGGGAGGCAGCAGUAGGGAAUCUUCCGCAAUGGACGAAAGUCUGACGGAGCAACGCCGCGUGAGUGAAGAAGGUUUUCGGAUCGUAAAACUCUGUUGUUAGGGAAGAACAAGUACCGUUCGAAUAGGGCGGUACCUGACGGUA
rnacentral:rRNA from 1 species